UGAAUACGAGGCGCUAAGGCGUCGAAGUAGUGUAUGUCAGACUUCCAAGAAAAGCUCGCACUGUCAUAGGUAAAAAAUGCCUGUACCAUAACCGACACAGGUGGGUAGGUAGAGUAUACUAAGGGGCGCGAGAUAACUCUCUCUAAGGAACUCGGCAAAAUGACUCCGUAACUUCGGGAGAAGGAGUGCCUUAUUUAUAAGGUUGCAAUAACAAGAUCCAAGCAACUGUUUACCAAAAACACAGGUCUCCGCUAAGUCGUAAGACGAUGUAUGGGGGCUGACGCCUGCCCAGUGCCAGAAGGUUAAAGAAGUUGGUUAGCAUUCGCGAAGCUGAUAACUGAAGCCCUGGUGAACGGCGGCCGUAACGAUAACGGUCCUAAGGUAGCGAAAUUCCUUGUCGGGUAAGUUCCGACCCGCACGAAAGGCGUAAUGAUUUGGAUACUGUCUCGGAGAGAGGCUCGGUGAAAUAGACUUGUCUGUGAAGAUGCGGACUACCUGCACCUGGACAGAAAGACCCUAUGAAGCUUUACUGUAACUUGAAAUUGAAAUUGGACUUUAGUCGCGCAGCAUAGGUGGGAGGCGUUGAGAAUAUUCUUGCGGGAAUAUAGGAGCCAUCAGUGAGAUACCACUCUUCUAAUGUUAGAUUUCUAACCUUGAACCAUUAUCUGGUCAAGGAACAGUUUCAGGCGGGCAGUUUGACUGGGGCGGUCGCCUCCCAAAUGGUAACGGAGGCGUACAAAGGUUUCCUCUGAACGGAUAGAAAUCGUAUCUAGAGUAUAAAGGCAUAAGGAAGCUUGACUGUGAGACUUACAAGUCGAGCAGGGACGAAAGUCGGUCUUAGUGAUCUGACGGUACUGAGUGGAAAGGCCGUCACUCAACGGAUAAAAGUUACUCUAGGAUAACAGGCUGAUCUCCCCCAAGAGUUCACAUCGACGGGGAGGUUUGGCACCUCGAUGUCGGCUCAUCGCAUCCUGGGGCGGUAGUACGUCCCAAGGGUUGGGCUGUUCGCCCAUGAAAGCGGUACGCGAGCUGGGUUCAGAACGUCGUGAGACAGUUCGGUCCAUAUCCGGUGUAGGCGUUAGAAUAUUGAGAGGAGCCUUCUUUAGUACGAGAGGACCGAGAAGGAUAUACCUCUGGUGUACCAGUUAUCGUGCCAACGGUAAACGCUGGGUAGCUAUGUAUGGAGUGGAUAACCGCUGAAAGCAUCUAAGUGGGAAGCCCACCUCAAGAUGAGUAUUCUCAUC
rnacentral:rRNA from 1 species